rnacentral:rRNA from 1 species
UACGUAGGGGGCGAGCGUUAUCCGGAAUUACUGGGCGUAAAGCGCACGUAGGCGGAUCGUUAAGUCGGGGGUGAAAUCCUGGAGCUCAACUCCAGAACUGCCUUCGAUACUGGCGAUCUUGAGUCCGGAAGAGGUGAGUGGAACUCCUAGUGUAGAGGUGGAAUUCGUAGAUAUUAGGAAGAACACCAGUGGCGAAGGCGGCUCACUGGUCCGGUACUGACGCUGAGGUGCGAAAGCGUGGGGAGCAAACAGG